GCUGGAAUCGGGGAUGUGGGACGGGAACGGCGGGAAGAUAGCAUUGAGUAACCCACUGACCAGCUUUGGGCCUCUGCUAUCCCUGGCACCGCACCAUCGACUCCUCUCCAUUCUCAGCCUCCCAUCCUGGGAGUGGAACUGCCGGGGACAACAUGCACAAGCGCGAGCAGUGACUUGCUCUGUGGUGUAACCUGCCUUCACACAGGCAGACAGGGAGGAGAAAAAUUGCAGAGGUGUGUGGUUAUGAUCCCACAGUUGCAGUCAGCUCCUGGCAUCAGCUGCAAAUAUGUAUAUACAAGGAAAAGCAGGAAGAAAGACAUGGAUAGCAACAUUGCUAGAAAGCAGAAUAGCUUUUUUAUUUCUAUUAACUUGAGUAAAAAAAAGUUGCACCAUUGCUCCACUUUCAUUCCUCAAACAUCACCAGUUGUGUUCUCUCUCCGGGCAAAACAUGUCUUUAAUGACAAGAAGUAACUAGUACAAACUUCAGUCUUAAGAGGCUUAAAGCAUCAAACUUAAUGCCCAGAUCUUCAUCUGCAGAGCAUUUUAAAGAACAGUUCUGUGCUUUCACAUCCUCAUACUGAGACAAUGCACUGAAGCCCUCCAUAUGCAGGAACAGGCGCUAAGACCAACUGUACAGUGAUGGAGUGACCUCCUCGCUUGGAAGGACAUAAAAAUUUUAAGAAACAUACAUUACUAGAAUAUGAAGAUAUGAAAUGUCGUAAUAUUGUAGCAUAAAGUUCCUGAUAAAACAUGCACAGCAUGACAAAUCUCUUCAUGCAGAACAGUCCUCAUACCAGUGAUACAUCCCAGUCUUCUAGCACAUUUAAAACAUUCAAUAAUGCCUUAUUUUCUGGGGGAAAUUUUAGAGAAAGAGGCUCAUUCAUUUUAAGGUAGCCUGAUUUUCUAAAAUCAAUGUGUGAACUCAACCAUCAAGACGGAAUAUGUAACUGACUAAAAUCCCUUCCAAAUGUGGCUGUUUUGUCAUGGUCCAUUUUUAGAUGAGUUACAUUUACGACAAACAAAUUUAUCCUCGGUUUCUGUUGUAGCCUUCUCUCGUGUGGAUGCAUUAUGCUAGAAACUGCUGCACAGGCAAGUUCAGAUCUAAUUAUAAAACCCUCUUAGAGAUGCUUUGGUGCUUCAGCAUGUUGUGAAAGAAAAUAGUACAGAGCUGCUGUGAGUCUCUUCACAAUCCCCAGCUUUUGGCUUUUAAAGCACUUUUAAACAUGCAGUGGGGCAAUCUCCCUUGAGUGUGCAAAGUAAUUUACAGCAGAGAGAAAGCAUUUUAAGAUCCUUUCAUCUGCAGGUUAGGAAAUAACAGUCUUGCAGGGACAUGCCUUAACAUUUCCACAUAGUGGAGGCUGGCAAAAUUAAAUGCUUCCUGUAAUUCUGAAACACUUAAUAGAGGUGAGGGAGAGAUUGAUAACUUGUUACACAACUUUCCAGAUGAAGCGAUGACCUAUUUUAGAUUAAUCUUUUCUGUUAAGCGUUGUGGAAGCCCGGCAACCAGCUGGAAGCAGGUAUUCGUUCUCACUGCUGCUAAUCCACAGAGAAAUGGGUGUAUCCCCAAAGUAAACAUUACUCUGUCACCUACCAAUCAUGACACAUUGCCAAAAUUUAAACAAUUUUUUUGUAUAUGUCUUUUAUAUUUCCAAAUAUCCCUAAUGCAAUUUCAUUGCUGUCUUGAAAAUGAUGCAGAGAGCAAUGAAUUAUUCAGCUUUCAGUCCUGUGUUAGCAAAGAAGCCCUGGAAACCUUUGGAUAUCUCUGCAGUUUGAGGCAGCAAAGGCCACUGAGGAAAAUAUGCCCUUUCCCAACAAAUUUCUAAUUUUUUCUCAACUGACAAAGUUCACAGAGUGUUACCAGUAGUCAAUUCUUGCCAUACCAAAAUGUAUCUUUUAUCUACAGUAAAUGGCAGAAGACAACACUGAUUUGCUGUCUCUGUGAAACAAUGUGGAUGAAUGUGUGUGAAUUACAUAAUCAGACCUUUUUUUUACUGUUUCUGCGUCAGCUGUUGUGGCAUUUCUGCAUUUUCUUCUUUUAGACAAUAAAAAGUCGAAACAGUGUUCCUCUUAAAAA